GAGGUAGUGACAAUAAAUCACAAUGCGGGACUAUACGUCUUGCAAUUGGAUUGAGAACAAUGUACAACUCUUAUCGAUAAGCCAUUGGAGGGCAAGUCUGGUGCCAGCAGCCGCGGUAAUUCCAGCUCCAAUAGCGUAUAUUAACGUUGUUGCAGUUAAAAAGCUCGUAGUUGAAGUGUGGGUGAUCGCUGUUGUGAGACUUCGGUCUCUCGACAGUAAGUCACCCCCUUCCAGUAUCCAGUAGUGGGUAUUCAGUUACUUACUAUUGUGUGUUGGUCCUUUACUGUGAGAAAAUUAGAGUGUUCAAAGCAGGCGUUUGCUUGAAUAGAUUAGCAUGGAAUAAUAAUUGAAGGCUUUCGUGUUCGAUUUGAUUGGUUUGUUCAUGGAAGCAAGGUUAAAAGGAACAGUUGGGGGUAUUCAUAUUCACUAGUUAGAGGUGAAAUUCUCGGAUUUAUGGAAGAUGAACAAUGCCGAAAGCAA
rnacentral:rRNA from 1 species